GAUGAACGCUGGCGGCGUGCCUAAUACAUGCCAGUCGAACGAAACUUCUUUAUCACCGAGUGCUUGCACUCACCGAUACAGGGUUGAGUGGCGAACGGGUGAGUAACACGUGGGCAACCUGCCCACAAGAGGGGGAUAACACUUGGAAACAGGUGCUAAUACCGCAUAACCAUAGUUACCGCAUGGUAACUAUGUAAAAGGUGGCUAUACUACCGCUUUUGGAUGGGCCCGCGGCGCAUUAGCUAGUUGGUAGGGUAAAGGCUUACCAAGGCAAUGAUGCGUAGCCGAAGUGAGAGGUUGAUCGGCCACAUUGGGACUGAGACACGGCCCAAACGCCUACGGGAGGCAGCAGUAGGGAAUCGUCCACAAUGGGCGAAAGCCUGAUGGAGCAACGCCGCGUGGGUGAAGAAGGUCUUCGGAUCGUAAAACCCUGUUGUUAGAGAAGAAAGUGCGUGAGAGUAACUGUUCACGUUUCGACGGUAUCUAACCAGAAAGCCACGGCUAACUACGUG
rnacentral:rRNA from 1 species